rnacentral:lncRNA from 1 species
GGCCGGCGGCCGCCGCCGGCGGGAGGCCUCGUCUCGCGCUGCCCGCGCCCCCUGCGGUCCGGCCGUUUCUGACGGAAUCCUGCCUCCGGCGCACUACCGCUGCAGAGGCUGUUCAUUCUACAGGGCCCACCUCAUUCAUAUAUUCUCCACUUUCAUAAACAAAAUUUAAAAAGUCAUAGCUCUUAAACUAAAUAUCUAAAUCAAAAUCCGAUUACACUAUAGUGUUUCUUAUAAUAAAUCCUGCAAAACAAGAUCUCACAUAGAUAUAUUUAGAUAAAAUUUUAUUAAUAAAUAUUUAUCUUAUAAAGAUAUAACAUUUUUAUUUAUGAUAGACAAGGUUCUAGGUUCAUAAAAUAAAUGUUCCAUCUUCGUAAUAAAAAUGUUCUCAGUUUAAAAAAUAGUGUUCUAGUUUAGAUUCAUGAAACUGAUAUUAUAAUAUUUAAAAUAAAUAAAUAAAUACAUCAUGUAAACAAAAAAAAAUAAAAUCUAGAGCAAAGCAUAAGGAAAAAACAUGUAAUAGAGAAAAAUUUAAAAGAACAUCAUAUGGAUAGUUUUAAAACAUCCUAAAAAUAAACUAUAAAACAUCACAUGUGUACUAAACUGAACAUCACUAAAUACACUAUAGAACACUAUUAAAUACAUUAUGGAACAUCGUAUAUAUAUUACGUGAACAUCACUAGAUAUAUCAUAGAACACCACAUGUGUACUAAGCGAACAUCACUAAAUUCACAAUAGAACAUCACUCAACACAUUAUAGAACAUUGUAUGUAUACUAAGUAAACAUCGUUGAAUUAACCACAAAACAACACUUAAUGUAUUAUAGAACAUGGCAUAUGAUUCCAAAAAAGAUUAAUAACAAAGAAAAAUUAAGAAAUAAAACAUGAAUAAAAGAAAACAUAAUUAAAAAUUAAAAGAAAAAACAAAAUCAAAAGAAAAAAAUAAAAAAUAGAACAUCAGCACGUGAACAUCAAAGAAAAUAAUAAUAAGAAGAAAAAAAUAAAAUGUACAAAACAAAGGAUAAUAUAAAACAAAAAAUGAAAAUAAAAAUAAAGCACAAAAAAGAUAGAAAGAGAAUCAAAUGGAAUAUAAAAUAAAAAAAGAAAGAAAAAAGGAAAAAAAUUAAAGAAAAGAAACAAAGAAAGAUUAAAAAAUAAAACAUGAAUAAAAGAAAACAUAAUUAAAAAAUAAAAGGAAAAACAAAAUCAAAAGAAAAAAUAAAAAAUAGAACAUCAGCACGUAAACAUCACAGAAAAAUAAUAAGAAUAAAAAAAGAUAAAGAUACAAAACAAAGAAUAAUAUAAAACAAAAAAAAUAAAAUAAAAAUAAAGCACAAAAAAGAUAAAAAAGAACCAAACGGAAUAUAAAAUGAAAAAAGAGAAAGAAAAAGAAAAAGAAAUUAAAGAAAAAAAUAUAGCAAGAAAAAUAAAAAGAAAAAAGAAAGAAUAAAAGAGAAGAAAAGUAACAGCAACGAUCGGGAGGAAAAAAAAGAAACAUAAAAAGAAAGAAAAAACAAAAAAGAAAGAAAAAACAAAAAAGAAAGAAAUAAAAAAGAAAACAUACGUAUCUGUCAACCUCACGCGUGUGCGGGAACCAUCGCGCGGAAAUCAUUGGACGGGGUCUCCGGUCCGAACCUCAACCAUACCAUCUACUUCCUCCAUUUCAGGGCCUUGUUUAUUUCCACCCAAAAAUCUAAAAAAUUUUAAAAUUUUCUGUUACAUAAAAUUUUUAUAUGCAUGCAUGGAGUAUUAAAUAUAGACGAAAACAAAAACAAAUUGCACAGUUUGGUCAAAAUUAAUGAGACGAAUCUUUUGAGCUUAGUUAGUCUAUAGUUAGACAAUAAUUACCACAAACAAACGAAAGUGCUACAGUGUCGUGAAUUUUUUUUCUUCGCGAACUAAACAAGACCAGACCUUGUUUAGUUGGUAAAAUAAAAAAGUUUUCAGACACCGUAGCACUUUCUUUAUAUUGUUCAAUUAUAAACUAAUCAGGGCUUUGUUUACAUCCACAAUUUUUUUUAGAUUUUGACAUUGUAUCACUUUCGUUUUUAUUUGACAAACAUUGUAUAAUCAUAGAAUAACUAGGCUUAAAAGAUAUGUUUCGCGAUUUAUACACAAACUGUGCAGCUAAUUUUUGUUUUUAUCUAUUUUUAAUGCUCCAUACAUAUGCCGAAAUAUUCGAUGUGAUGGGAAAUUUUGAAAAGUUUUUGGUUUUUUGGGUGAACUAAACAAGGCCUAGGUUUAAAAGAUUCAUCUCGCGAUUUAUAGACAAACUGUGUAGUUAGUUUUUGUUUUUGACUAUAUUUAAUGCUCCAUGUAUAUGCCGCAAGAUUUAAUGUGACAGAGAAUCUUGAAAAGUUUUUGGUUUUUUGGGUGAACUAAGCAAACCUCAAAUUUAUAAAUUAUUCCAAAAAUAUUAGAGAGUCAAAACAAAGUGACCAAAAUUAUAAAAAAAUACUAAGAUUUGUAACAUAAAGUGGAUGUACUAUAAAGAAUAUAAUGAUAUUUAGUUAGUAUUAUAAUUAUUAUUAUUUUAUUAUGUAAAUUUGGUCAAACUAAAGAUAGUUUAAUUCUUCAAAAUUUUAGUAAUGUAUAAUUUAGGAUGGAGAGAGUACAGGCUCCUAUCCAACACCACGGUUAUGGAUUGGCACCGUGUGCUACCUAUGGCUAUGGAUGAUCAGUUGGGCCGGGGCCCAACGGAUCACAAGAUACCUGAUUCAGUUUUUUUUUUAAAUCGGACAAGAGACCUGAUUGUAGAAACAACGGUCGCAAGAGUAUCUGGAAGC